CAGUCGCGCGGUAAUACAGAGGGUGCGAGCGUUAAUCGGAUUUACUGGGCGUAAAGCGUGCGUAGGCGGCUUCUUAAGUCGGAUGUGAAAUCCCUGAGCUUAACUUAGGAAUUGCAUUCGAUACUGGGAAGCUAGAGUAUGGGAGAGGAUGGUAGAAUUCCAGGUGUAGCGGUGAAAUGCGUAGAGAUCUGGAGGAAUACCGAUGGCGAAGGCAGCCAUCUGGCCUAAUACUGACGCUGAGGUACGAAAGCAUGGGGAGCAAACAGGAUUAGAGACCCGUGUAGUCCCUGUCUCUUAUACC
rnacentral:rRNA from 1 species